UACGUAGGUGACAAGCGUUGUCCGGAUUUACUGGGCGUAAAGAGCGCGCAGGCGGUCGUUCAAGUCGAGUGUGAAAGCCCCCGGCUCAACUGGGGAGGGUCACUCGAUACUGAUCGACUCGAAGGCAGGAGAGGGAAGUGGAAUUCCCGGUGUAGUGGUGAAAUGCGUAGAUAUCGGGAGGAACACCAGUGGCGAAGGCGACUUCCUGGCCUGUUCUUGACGCUGAGGCGCGAAAGCGUGGGGAGCAAACAGG
rnacentral:rRNA from 1 species